CUUUCAUUUGUUAUCAUUUACUUCGGUCUCUAUAUGCUUAAUUUCACGUUUCUAGGUUCAAUAUUAUAGAAAUUUUAAAAAGUACCUUUUGAAGAACGAAAAAUACUAAAAAGUCCCCUUCUAUAGGUUAUCAUUUACUACGGUCUUUAUAUGCUUAAUUUCACGUUUCUAGGUUCAAUGUUAUAGAAAUUUCAAAAAGUACCUUUUGAAGAACGAAAAAGUACCAAAAAGUCUCC